UGAAGGGCGCAGCUGAUCCAUCAUGCCGCGUGUGUGAAGAAGGCCUGCGGGUUGUAAAGCACUUUAAGCAGGAAAGAAAGGCGGGAGGUUAAUACCCUUUUGCUGUGACGUUACCUGCAGAAUAAGCACCGGCUAACUCCGUGCCAGCAGCCGCGGUAAUACGGAGGGUGCGAGCGUUAAUCGGAAUUACUGGGCGUAAAGCGCGCGUACGCGGUUUGCUAAGUCCGCUGUGAAAGCCCUGGGCUUAACCUGGGAACUGCAGUGGAUACUGGUGAGCUAGAGUAUGGUAGAGGGUAGUGGAAUUUCCGGUGUAGCAGUGAAAUGCGUAGAGAUCGGAAGGAACACCAGUGGCGAAGGCGGCUAUCUGGACCAAUACUGGACGCUGAGCGUGCGACAAGCGUGGCGGACGCAAACCAGGAUCUCAGAUACCCUGGGUACGUCCAUCGCUGUUAUCACCGAUGAGGAAACUUAGCCGCUUGGAGUCCAGACUUUAGCGGUUUACGCUGGCGCACGCUAGACGCGAUACAGUUCUCCGCCUGGGGAGUACGGCCGCAAGGUUAAAACUCAAAUGAAUUGACGGGGGCCCGCACAAGCGGUGGAGC
rnacentral:rRNA from 1 species